GGGCGGUUAGCUCAGCGGGAGAGCGCUGUCUUCACACGGCAGAGGUCACUGGUUCGAUCCCAGUACCGCCCACCA
rnacentral:tRNA from 1 species